CGCACAGAAGAGGCAGCACUGGCUGUAAUAUCAGACAGGUCUCUUGAGUCCCCUGUUGGGUGUUUAUUUGUACUCUUCCCUGUCUUGCAGCAAAGUCUGGCCACGCGGAUCCUGCCGACAUCACUCACUUUAAACACUUUGCAUCUUGUUUGACGGUCCCGGUGAUUUUUGUAAAGGAGUAAAGAUGGAAAGCGGCGUCCGGGCUGCCGAAGGCUCACGGCGAUCCCACGACCCCCGCGGUGGAACGUUCCGGAGGGAUCCUCACACCCGACAUGGAUUUGUAAUAAAGGGAAUGUUAGCGAUGCA